GAGCUUGCUCUUCGAUUCAGCGGCGGACGGGUGAGUAAUGCCUAGGAAUCUGCCUGGUAGUGGGGGACAACGUUUCGAAAGGAACGCUAAUACCGCAUACGUCCUACGGGAGAAAGCAGGGGACCUUCGGGCCUUGCGCUAUCAGAUGAGCCUAGGUCGGAUUAGCUAGUUGGUGAGGUAAUGGCUCACCAAGGCGACGAUCCGUAACUGGUCUGAGAGGAUGAUCAGUCACACUGGAACUGAGACACGGUCCAGACUCCUACGGGAGGCAGCAGUGGGGAAUAUUGGACAAUGGGCGAAAGCCUGAUCCAGCCAUGCCGCGUGUGUGAAGAAGGUCUUCGGAUUGUAAAGCACUUUAAGUUGGGAGGAAGGGCAGUAAGCGAAUACCUUGCUGUUUUGACGUUACCGACAGAAUAAGCACCGGCUAACUCUGUGCCAGCAGCCGCGGUAAUACAGAGGGUGCAAGCGUUAAUCGGAAUUACUGGGCGUAAAGCGCGCGUAGGUGGUUUGUUAAGUUGGAUGUG
rnacentral:rRNA from 1 species